UACAUGGGGUGCAAACGUUGCUCGGAAUUAUUGGGCGUAAAGCGCACGUAGGCGGUUUGUUAAGUCGGAUGUGAAAUCCCUCGGCUCAACUGAGGAAGUGCAUCCGAAACUGGCAGGCUUGAGUACUAAAGAGGGUCGCGGAAUUCCCGGUGUAGAGGUGAAAUGCGCAGAUAUCGGGAGGAACACCUAUGGCGAAAGCAGCUCUCUGGGACGGUACUGACGCUGAGACGCGAAAGCGUGGGGAGCGAACAGG
rnacentral:rRNA from 1 species